CACCAAUGCCACAAAUUAGGUAUCCAACACAGUAACCCACUAAGUGAUCAAGGCAAAUCAACCAUGAACACAACUGAAAAGGUAAGAACGCGUAGAAGUUGCUGCGCAAGCAGACAUCCAACCACCCGUAACAAACCAAACACCACUCAUGCACCUUUAUGGUAGACAUCCCCGAAGAUCGCCCAACUAUUAGCCACCCCCUUGGCAACAAGGCCAUGAGAG
rnacentral:misc_RNA from 1 species